GACGAACGCUGGCGGCGCGCUUAACACAUGCAAGUCGAACGGAAAGGCCUGCUUUCCCUUGUGGAUUGCGGGUACUCGAGUGGCGAACGGGUGAGUAACACGUGAGUGAUCUGCCCCCAACUUGGGUAUAAGCCUGGGAAACUGGGUCUAAUUCCCGAUAGGACUGCAGGGUGGUGCCUGUGGUGGAAAACGAUUUUCUAGUGGUUAGGGAUGAGCUCGCGGCCUAUCAGCUUGUUGGUGGGGUAAUGGCCUACCAAGGCGGCGACGGGUAGCCGGCCUGAGAGGGUGGACGGCCACAUUGGGACUGAGAUACGGCCCAGACUCCUACGGGAGGCAGCAGUGGGGAAUAUUGCACAAUGGGCGGAAGCCUGAUGCAGCGACGCCGCGUGGGGGAUGACGGCCUUCGGGUUGUAAACUCGUUUCGACCGCGAGGAAGCCACCUGGUUGGAAGGGUGGUGACGGUAGUGGUAGAAGAAGCACCGGCUAACUACGUG
rnacentral:rRNA from 1 species